rnacentral:rRNA from 1 species
UACGUAGGCAGCGAGCGUUGUUCGGAAUUACUGGGCGUAAAGAGUGUGUAGGCGGUGCUCUAAGUUCGGUGUGAAAUCCUCCUGCUUAACUGGGAGGGUGCGCCGAAAACUGGAAGUGCUCGAGCGUGGGAGAGGGAAAGGACCGGGAAUUCCUGGUGUAGCGGUGAAAUGCGGUAGAUAUCAGGAGGAACACCUGCGGUGUAGACGGCUUUCUGGACCAUGCUGACGCUGGAGACACGGAAAGCGUGGGUAGCAAACAGG